AGUUCCUGAUGUGAUGUUCAACCCGUCCAUAGUUCAGACGAUUCCUGGAAUGGAGAAGUAUGCAGACAUGAUUCCUUCCGUUCGUGGUCUACCACACAUGGUCAUGGAGAGCAUCAACAAAUGUGAUGUAGAUAUCCGGAGAGAAUUGUACAGUAGCAUACUGGUAAAUAACAAAUUAUGUCAACUCUUAAAU